UAGGGAAUUUUCCGCAAUGGGCGAAAGCCUGACGGAGCAACGCCGCGUGAGGGAUGAAGGUUUUCGGAUCGUAAACCUCUGUCUUCGGGGACGAUAAUGACGGUACCCGAGGAGGAAGCCACGGCUAACUACGUGCCAGCAGCCGCGGUAAUACGUAGGUGGCAAGCGUUGUCCGGAAUUACUGGGCGUAAAGGGCGUGUAGGCGGCCAUUUAAGUCAGACGUGAAAGCCCGUGGCUUAACCACGGGACUGCGUUUGAAACUGGGUGGCUUGAGGAUCGGAGAGGGCAGUGGAAUUCCCAGUGUAGCGGUGAAAUGCGUAGAUAUUGGGAGGAACACCAGUGGCGAAGGCGACUGCCUGGACGACACCUGACGCUGAGGCGCGAAAGCCAGGGGAGCAAACGGG
rnacentral:rRNA from 2 species